CCUACGGGUGGCUGCAGUGAGGAAUAUUGGUCAAUGGGCGCGAGCCUGAUCCAGCCAAGUCGCGUGAAGGAUGACUGCCCUACGGGUUGUAAACUUCUUUUAUAAAGGAAUAAAGUGAGGCACGUGUGCCUUUUUGUAUGUACCAUAUGAAUAAGCAUCGGCUAACUUCGUGCCAGCAGCCGCGGUCAUACGGAGGAUGCGAGCGUUAUCCGGAUGUAUUGGGUUUAAAGGGUGCGUAGGUGGUUAAUUAAGUCAGCGGUGAAAGUUUGUGGCUCAACCAUAGAAUUGCCGUUGAAACUGGUUGACUUGAGUAUAUUUGAGGUAGGCGGAAUGCGAGGUGUAGCGGUGAAAUGCAUAGAUAUCACGCAGAACUCCGAUUGCGAAGGCAGCUUACUAAACUAUAACUGACACUGAAGCACGAAAGCGUGGGGAUCAAACAGGAUUAGAUACCCUAGUAGUC
rnacentral:rRNA from 1 species